ACAGGGGUUAGCUAGUUGUGAGAAGGGGUUAGGUUGUUACAGGGUUAGCUAGUUGUGAGUAUGGAUAGGAUGUUACAGGGUUAGCUAGUUGUGAGUAGGGAUAGGUUGUUACGGGGUUAGCUUGUUGUGAGUAGGGAUAGGUUGUUACAGGGUUAGCUAGUUGUGAGUAGGGAUAGGUUGUUACGGGGUUAGCUUGUUGUGAGUAGGGAUAGGUUGUUACGAGGUUAGCUUGUUGUGAGUAGGGAUAGGUUGUUACAGGGUUAGCUAGUUGUGAGUAGGGAUAGGUUGCUACAGGGGUUAGCUAGUUGUGAGUAGGGAUAGGUUGUUACAGGGUUAGCUAGUUGUGAGUAGGGAUAGGUUGUUACAGGGUUAGCUAGUUGUGAGUAGGGAUAGUUUGUUACAGGGUUAGCUAGUUUUGAGUAGGGAUAGGUUGUUACAGGGUUAGCUAGUUGUGAGAAGGGGUAGGUUGUUACAAGGGUUAGCUAGUUGUGAACAGUUGUAGGUUGUUACAGGGUUAGCUAGUUGUGAGUAGGGAUAGGUUGUUACAGGGUUAGCUAGUUGUGAGUAGGGAUUAGGUUGUUACAGGGUUAGCUAGUUGUGAGAAGGGGUAGGUUGUUACAGGGGUUAGCUAGUUGUGAACAGUUGUAGGUUGUUACAGUGUUAGCUAGUUGUGAGUAGGGAUAGGUUGUUAUAGGGUUAGCUAGUUGUGAGUAGGGAUAGGUUGUUACCGGGUUAGCUUGUUGGGAGUAAGGAUAGGUUGUUACAGGGUUAGCUAGUUGUGAGUAGGGAUAGGUUGUUACGGGGUUAGCUUGUUGUGUUUAGGGAUAGGAUGUUACGGGGUUAGCUAGUUGUGUGUAGGGAUAGGUUGUUACAGGGUUAGCUAGUUGUGAGUAGGGAUAGGUUGUUACGGGGUUAGCUUGUUGUGAGUAGGGAUAGGUUGUUACAGGGGUUAGCUAGUUGUGAGAAGGGGUAGGUUGUUACACGGUUAGCUAGUUGUGAGUAUGGAUAGGUUGUUACAGGGUUAGCUAGUUGUGAGUAGGGAUAGGUUGUUACGGGGUUAGCUUGUUGUGAGUAGGGAUAGGUUGUUACGGGGUUAGCUAGUUGU